UACAGGGGGGGCAAGCGUUGUCCGGAAUUAUUGGGCGUAAAGAGCGUGUAGGCGGUCCGGUAAGUCAGCUGUGAAAGUCAAGGGCUCAACCCUUGAAAGCCGGUUGAUACUGUCGGGCUAGAGUCCGGAAGAGGCGAGUGGAAUUCCCGGUGUAGCGGUGAAGUGCGCAGAUAUCGGGAGGAACACCAAUGGCGAAGGCAGCUCGCUGGGACGGUACUGACGCUGAGACGCGAAAGCGUGGGGAGCAAACAGG
rnacentral:rRNA from 1 species